AGGGCUGAGGGGAUAGGGUGUGUCUUUUAAGUGUUUGGAAUGCAACCCUGCACUUUUUGGUACUCGUAGUCUGUCCGUCAGGGGGUGCUGGCUCGCGCGUCACAAUUUCACAUACAGAACUAGCAUACACACAGCACGCAACAAAAGCUAGGCUAUCGAUAUACUACCCUGUCUCUCUUUCCCGUCGAGACAGCUUAGGAAAUUGGCAAUAUAGCUAGCCAGCUGUUAUUUAUCGUUUAAUAAAGAUGUCGACCACGACCGGCGGUGGAGAGUUUGGCAACCCCCUGCGGAAAUUCAAGCUCGUAUUCUUAGGCGAACAAAGUGUGGGAAAGACAUCGCUUAUCACCAGGUUUAUGUAUGACAGCUUUGACAACACCUAUCAGGCAACAAUUGGCAUAGACUUUUUAUCGAAAACGAUGUAUCUGGAAGAUCGUACGGUCCGACUCCAGCUCUGGGACACUGCUGGACAGGAGCGUUUCCGUAGUCUCAUUCCCAGCUACAUCCGCGACUCCACCAUCGCUGUGGUGGUUUAUGACAUCACCAACCUCAAUUCAUUCCAGCAAACCUCUAAGUGGAUUGAUGAUGUCAGAACAGAGAGAGGAAGUGAUGUCAUUAUCAUGCUUGUGGGAAACAAAACAGACCUGGCUGAUAAAAGACAAGUGUCUGUAGAGACUGCAGAAAGGAAAGCUCGUGAACUCAAUGUGAUGUACAUAGAGACCAGUGCCAAGGCUGGCUAUAACGUCAAACAGACAGAUCACCACGGAAGAGGGCGAGCAGAGAGCUAAGGAACUGAAUGUCAUGUUCAUUGAAACCAGCGCAAAGACUGGCUACAAUGUCAAACAGCUGUUUCGCCGUGUUGCCGCAGCCCUACCUGGGAUGGAUAGCACACCAGAGAAGAGCAAAGAGGACAUGAUCGAUAUCAAACUGGAGAAGCCGCCGGAGAUGGCUGUGACAGAGAGCAGCUGCUCCUGCUAGUAAACACCUAAACCCCCACCUGACCUGCCUCCUCCCCACCAACAGCUUGUGUCUCAGUGGCCACUCUCCCCACCCAUGGCUCACUGCCAUUGGCUGCAGAACCUCUUUCGACUCAGUGAUUUUUCAGAGUAACUGUGUGGAUGUGCUAUUACUCUGUAUUUAAACAGAUCAUCUAAAGAUAAUAUUAAAGGUAAAAAGUAAAACUGUCAACACAGAGUAGGUUAAAUGCUGAAUAUGACCAGAUUGUCAUCCAACUGCAUGGCAUUAUCUAGGAUUGCAGACUGACAUAACUAACUGCUCCUGGGUUAUUGCACUUUUUGGAGCAUUAGUGCCAUCACACUUGUCAUUGUUGUAAAGUGAUAUUGUUUGAGAUUAUUUAAGUGACUAUGAAAGGUCUCAGUCCCUUUUUAGGUCUUUGGUUUUAUUUCCAAUGGAGAGUGGAGUGGGUCAGCUACAGUAUUCUAUAUACGUGAUCAACACAGUGUCUGUUACUGAUUCCCAUAAUUCUUUAAAUACUUAAUUGCAAAAAGAUUCCCCUCAACUUGAUGAACAUUAUUUUGAAUCAUUGUUGGCUCAAAUCUAUUAAUUUAAGCCUAAAGAAUAAGGAAUAUUUUUAAGGGCAAGAACAGCCAAAUAAAUUCAUUUAGGAUUACUAUAGUUAGUCGACUGAAGAUUUCAAUGGCGGCUGGUUUGUUAAUUUGGCAGGUUGUCCAAGGGGGAUGCUUCAGAAAGUACGUGUAGCCAAUCCGAUAGGAAAAAAGGGUAUACAUUUUUAGAAAAGGGACAUAAUCCCAAAUUCAUUGUACUGGAAAAUACUAACCUAAAUCUACUGAUGUACACUUCAAAACUAUGGCUGCUCUGUCAGAGGAACUUUCCUCAGUCAUCUACAUGCAUACAAACAUCUUGUGUCUGAGGAGAAAAGGUGUUUUAAAGUCCAUGUGUGGGGCUAUGGAGUGAGCAGGUGUCAACCCUUUUACACACUAAAUGGAAACAUGUCACUUGGCCCAUACAAUGUCUCCUACUCACCCUCCAAUUGAUAUAUGUAUUGUCUUGUUUUCAUCACACUUGCAGGAACAGCGUGCUCAUCAUGCAGGAUUUAUAGACGGUUAAGAACACAGAUGCCUUGCUUGUUUGUUCACCAACGGUGUGCACUGAAUCGAGUCCCAAUAUUGUAAAGAUCGAGAGGCCUGCUGACGGGCCUCUGGCUUCAGUAGUUGUUUUGUAGAGCAGUUUAGAUACAGCUAACGCUUCCUAACACCCUUGCUGUAAAAAAAACAAGUGCAGUGAAGAUAAUUUUUAUCGCUAUUGCCUGUGUAUGACUGUUUUUAAUUUAUUUAACACAAGCAACUGUAAAAUUGCAUUGUAUGCUUGACAAAAAUUAGAGUUGCUGGCACGCACGUGGAAGUUAGUGUUUUAUUUAUUUCCGUGUCUCUGCUUGGAUGCUGAAUUUCAAAGCAAAAGCCAGGCCUGGUUGUUUCGUCUCAAGUCACCACGGUCACACUGAUGAUGUUGACUCUGCAGUGUGUAUAGUCAGUGGAUUGGUUUAGGUACAGAAAGGGCUUCACUUCACCCCAGUCCUUUACCACGUACACACGGUGGCAUACACAAACCAAAUGACCACAGUCAAAAAGGGCCCAACCCCACAACCACACACCAAUAGCUGUAGAUUGUUUGAAAAUGUCAACAUUUUAAAAUGUUUAAACAAAUGUAGAUAAGUAUUUAAUUACAUCGAACAACCUUUAGCUUAAUAGCUAAAUCUAUUACCUGUCGCUGACUGAAUACUCAGCUCUGUGCUUUUCUGAAGUGUCUGUCCAGUUGAAAUAUGUCUACUAGUGUUUAGCAAUGUUUCUGUGAAUAAUAAUGUGCUGUUAGUAUUACUCUGCUGUAAACAAAAAGGAUAGUUAAGGAACACAAGUGUAUCACAUGAAGUAAAGGUAUUUCA